CAGGCAUGAGUCACUGUGCCAGGCCCACAAAGUUUUAUAAUAUUCUAAUGGGCAGGCACCUAAGGAAGUGGUUAAGUAGAGCUGGUGUGGGAUGAGGUGUCUUUAUAUUCGGCUGAUAGGUUUUAAGUUAUCUGGGAAGUCAGACAAAAGCUGUGAGUGAAUGGGAGCUCUGGGUCUGACAGGCUGGGGUCAGACUGCCAUGGGGCAGACACAGCUGAUUUUCCAGCUAGGUCCCUGAUAAUCACAUAACCACAAGGCUACUGCCACCCAGUGUGCACACAUAUUUGGGGAUUAUUGGGGUUGGCCAAUAAGCUACCUGAGACCUCUGGCUGAAGAAAUCUGGGUGGACAAGACGCUGCAGUUGCUGGUACCUGUGCUGGAGCUUCGCUGUAUCAACUCUGAAGGAAC
rnacentral:lncRNA from 1 species